rnacentral:lncRNA from 1 species
UUAGCUGCCCAGCAGGGUAAAACCACCACAGGCUGUAACCUUUAGCUCCACCUUGUUAUUUAUGAAGUCUUUCAAAUACAAUAUUCCCAGUAUGAAUGAUCUCCAUUCAUUUCCUGCCUAUGGAAGAAAAAUAUGUCAUUGCUUGCCUUACCACAUACAGUUGGAUCUUGUAUUGAACAUUCCAGAAGCUCUCUGGGAGGACCUUACUCUCAGAUCUUACUCUGGUUGGUGGUGUUGGCGCUGUGUUCUUCGAGUCAGCUACCUCCCUAUGAUAACAGCAGAACAAACAGCAAGUCUACUGCUUGCAGUAGCUAUGGUUUUCCAACUUCCCCAGGGAUCUGAGAUCUGCUCUGUCUCUCAUCAGGGGCUGUGUUACAAUCUACAGCAAUGA